AAACGGGAAGAUGAACAACUGGGAGUGCACGUGUAGGAUUCAACAGCAACAGUGUUGCACGAGGCCGCACAUGGACGACGGUCACUCCAUAGCACCUAUUACCUCGGUUCUUGCUACUGCUCAAACAAGGCGGAUUUUUUAACACUUCCAAGGCACCAACGAGAGCGAGAGCGAGCUGCUUUGCUCCAAGUGCUGCUUCCGCUCCACCAAGGUACAGACAGACUUCGCUGAAAUUCUAGCUCUGCGCUUGUGAGUGAUGUGAGAGAGGCUGCUGCCUAGAGAGAACUAUAUAGCAUAGCUACUUUGCUUUGGAAGUGCUCACUCCGCUGAUGGGCUUUCGUUGGGUUUCAGGAAAUUUGCAUGGAGCGGCGGACAGAAAGAAUGUGAGGGUGAUAUUAUAUGCGGCGAGGAGCGGAAAUAGAAGCACUUGAAAUUUGGAGAAAAGCCAAAACGAGGAGAGGACUGUCCGACCAACGGGCGAAGAAGUUGCGAGUACUAAAAAGAAACCAUAAAGAAAAGGAAAGAGGAAAAGAAAACAAGCGCGAUCGAGCGAGGCGAGCGGACGAGCCAAGCAGCGAAACUAACUCAGACGAGACUGAGACCGCCCCGAGCCAUGAAUAGAAAAUGAUAGAAGAAGAAGGGGCUUCGUACACAUCAACGAGAAAUUUGGAGCGGAGAAAAAUGGAGAGACUGCAGCUCUCUCGAAAAAUAUACUACAUAACAACAGGAGGGAAGCGGAGAAAGAACAACGAGUUAUCGAAAGCGGAAGCAAAAGAAGAAAAGCAAGACAGGACGCUCCACAAAAGCUUUGGCUUUCAAGAGCCCUCCAGGAUUGAAAAAUCAAAGAAAUCCAGCGCCGGGUCCUCCGCUUGAGGUAGCGUGUCGCGCAGGUGGUGUUCCGGAUGGGUCCCUUUGGUUCAUGAGACCGAGCGCUCAACGCUAGGCAGCCAGCGGAAGAAAAGAAAAGAGGACCAGAUUUGUGGGAUAUAUUGGCCGAGAAGGAAGGAAUCGUUCAAGUUCGCAGCACUAGCUCAGCACCGCAGCAGCAGCAGCACUGUUCCUGUUCAUGAAUAGCGACAUAUGGGCCGACAUCGCCAGAGCGACAAGCACGAGAGCGUUCGUUCCUGGUGAUCACCACUGUUGCUUGCCUACCACCUCUGGUCCAACGCAAAGAUGAUCAUCGACCGACUAGAUGGCUGGAAGAUCAUCGACCGACUAGAUGGCUCGAGCGACUUUCGGCCCGGCCCCAGCAGACAGUGCAGCCCACCAUCUUUUACCGCGUCCCCGCGUGAUGAUGCCGUCGUGCACAGAGAGCAAUUUGACUUUGGUGUAGCAACAAGUUGGCUGGAUCAUCGUGGCACACACACCGCAUAGCGAUAUGCGCGCGCGCACACAC